rnacentral:tRNA from 1 species
GGAGAGGUCGCGUAGUCCGGCUUAGCGCGCGUGCCUGGAGAGCACGUAGGCGGGUAACCGCCUCCAGGGUUCGAAUCCCUGCCUCUCCGCCA